rnacentral:lncRNA from 1 species
UAGUUGGAUUCGUUAACCACUGGGCCACGACGGGAACUCCUGAAUUUAUUUUAAUGAUUGGGAUACAUACACACACAAACACACACACACGUACACACAUAUAUGUAUAUAUGUUUGUGUAUAGAUAUUUUAAAUUAUUAUAUUAAGUAUUCAUCUAUAUAUUACAUAUAAAAAAUUAUUUUUCUAUCUGUAUAAGCUGUGAAGAAUGAACAUAGGGAGUUUCAAAUUAAGACGAGAAGUCCUAGAAAUUUGACAACUCUGUUGUAUGGGAAGGAAUGAUAAGUUCUUACACAGUUAACAAGUAGCAAAAUCAUACAGCCUGUCUGUGAAUAAUUAAUUAGGGAAAUUUUUCAAAAAAGACAGCUAACUACAUAGACUCAAUCUCUCACUUUCUAGGAGAUGAAACAUCUAGAUGGCCCUGCUAACUACAGUAUUAUGUUAAUAAGAGAUGCAUCAACUUUUAAAUAAUUCCAGCAAAUCAGUUAUUUUCAACCAACUGCAAACAAGAGAGAUGAGUCAUCAUCUGGAGCACAUGGAUUAUGGGAGGAUUCCAAAUACCCUUCCCCAGUGCAUAUUCAAAACAUCCCAAGGUGUUAGACACCCUCUCAAAGGUGGGACAGAAUAAUAAUGAUGGCUUCAGUACAAUGUUAUAUAUGCUACGAGAGUGGCACAUAUACAGACGACUCUGGAGCUAAGAACAAGGACAUCUACACGCUAAGUUUCAGGUAUUGUACUGAGUCUUGAGGAUGAGUUGCAUUUAUCCAUUCCACAUAUAUUUAUUGAGUAACUUUUAUGGAGCUAGCCUACCCUCUGGAUAGACUAUGGGGAAACAGGAUAGACAUGAACACUGCCAUCAUGAACUCACAGACCAUGAAGGGGGGGACACACCUAAAACAACCUCCAAGAAAAAAAAUCUGUGAUAAGAGAGGAAAAUUCAAUAAGCUGUGAGAGCAAGGCAGAUGAACCAACAUUUUGACAGAUUGCUCAGGGAAAACCUCUCUUAGAGAAAAUGGUAUUUGAGAUGAUACCUUAAGUAGAGUAGAAUUUAGGUAAGCAAAGACAGGGAGAAGAGCAUACCAAAGAGCAAAAGCAUGAUUCAUUUUAUUUUAUUCAAAGAUUUUUGUUCUAAAGAUAGUCAAAAAAUCCAAAGCAAACAAAUGAACAAAAAAGAAUUUUAAAUCAUUACCUUCAGUGAACAUUAUGUUAGUAA